UCGUAGGUAGUAAUAAUAUCCGGUGCAC
rnacentral:sRNA from 1 species